rnacentral:rRNA from 1 species
CCUACGGGUGGCAGCAGUGGGGAAUAUUGGACAAUGGGCGAAAGCCUGAUCCAGCCAUGCCGCGUGUGUGAAGAAGGCCUUCGGGUUGUAAAGCACUUUCAGUGGGGAAGAAAGCCUUGGGGCUAAUACCCUCGAGGAAGGACAUCACCCACAGAAGAAGCACCGGCUAACUCCGUGCCAGCAGCCGCGGUAAUACGGAGGGUGCGAGCGUUAAUCGGAAUUACUGGGCGUAAAGCGCGCGUAGGCGGUCUGAUAAGCCGGUUGUGAAAGCCCCGGGCUCACCCUGGGAACGGCAUCCGGAACUGUCAGGCUAGAGUGCAGGAGAGGAAGGUAGAAUUCCCGGUGUAGCGGUGAAAUGCGUAGAGAUCGGGAGGAAUACCAGUGGCGAAGGCGGCCUUCUGGACUGACACUGACGCUGAGGUGCGAAAGCGUGGGUAGCAAACAGGAUUAGAUACCCCUGUAGUC